rnacentral:lncRNA from 1 species
GUAAACAUUAAAAAGUUUUAUUUUUUUAUCAUGCCUGUAAUGGGUUCGGCCACGCGAUUGAUUGGAUGAUAUAAACAAUAAAUCAGAUAUGAACCAAUCAGAAAAGACUGACGUCACAAGUCGAGAAACAAAACGGAACAUUUAAAGUGGAGUUAGACGUGAACCCAGUUUAAGAACGUCGAGAAAUAUCGUACGUAAUGCCCAAAAAAGACGGGAAAAAAUUAUUAAAAGAUUACAUAAUCCCGAAUUUAGACAAUAAGCGAUUUAACGAUAAAAUGAUUUUGUU